AUUGAACGCUGGCGGAAUGCUUUACACAUGCAAGUCGAACGGUAGAGGGGGCAACCCCUCGAGAGUGGCGAACGGGUGAGUAAUAUAUCGGAACGUGCCCAGUCGUGGGGGAUAACGUAGCGAAAGUUACGCUAAUACCGCAUACGAUCUAAGGAUGAAAGCGGGGGAUCGCAAGACCUCGCGCGAUUGGAGCGGCCGAUAUCAGAUUAGGUAGUUGGUGGGGUAAAGGCUCACCAAGCCAACGAUCUGUAGCUGGUCUGAGAGGACGGCCAGCCACACUGGAACUGAGACACGGUCCAGACUCCUACGGGAGGCAGCAGUGGGGAAUUUUGGACAAUGGACGCAAGUCUGAUCCAACCAUUCCGCGUGCAGGAUGAAGGCCCUCGGGUUGUAAACUACUUUUGUACGGAACGAAAAGGUCUCUCUUAAUACGGGGGACUCAUGACGGUACCGUAAGAAUAAGCACCGGCUAACUACGUGCCAGCCGCCGCCGUAA
rnacentral:rRNA from 1 species